UUGUAUUUGCACCUGUAGGGGGCAGCAGCUGCUUGUUUUUGACAAGGAUUCAUGAAACUAUGAAAUCUAACAGCUGAAGUGUGUUUAUGCAAAUUCACCCUGUUAUUAAAAACAGCCUCUUGCAGUUUGAAGUUUGUGUCACACGACUGAAUCAAAGAGCAUGAUGAUGGGGCUGAGGGUCACUCAGUACUACAUCUUUGUUAUAAUGCUAACCAAAGGUGUCAGCAGUGAUGAGAUCAGACUGGACCAGUCUCCUGCUGUUGUAAAGAGACCUGGAGAAACUGUGAAGAUCUCCUGUAAGAUACACGGAUAUUCAAUGACAAGCAGCUACAUACACUGGAUCAGACAGAAAACAGGGAAAGCUCUGGAAUGGCUUGGCGAGAUGAGUACAGGCAAUAAUGCAGCAAUAUAUGCAGAGUCUGUGAAGAACCAGCUCACUUUAACAGAAGACGUCUCAGCAAGCACACAGUACUUAGAGGCCAAGAGUCUGAGGACAGAGGACACUGCGGUUUAUUACUGCGCCCGAGACCCAACAGUGACUGAAGCUGAGGAAGCAGCUGUACAAAAACCAGACACACAUUGUAACUGAACUAACUGAAGUUGCUUAAAUUAUAAUUGUAAGACAGAUGAACACGGUUUGUAUCUAUUUAUUGCUCCAAUUAUCUAUACUGUAAAUGUACCUGGAUAUAACCCUAAAGUGGGCGUGGCCUAAAAUAAUUAUCAGGAAUGAAAAUCUAGAUAAACCCUGUUUCUAUGAUCCUGGAAACACUUGAAAGCCACAGGUAGAAAUGGCAGCUCUGUCAGCAUGUUGUGUGACAUCCCAUUCCCAAUACACACUGUAAUACACACAUCAUAGUGUGAUUACACACUGUAAUACACACAUCACAGUCACAAUACACACUGUAAUACACACAUCACAGUCACAAUACACACAUCACAGUCACAAUACACAUUGUAAUACAC